rnacentral:rRNA from 1 species
AGUGAACGCUGGCGGUAGGCCUAACACAUGCAAGUCGAACGGCAGCACAGUAAGAGCUUGCUCUUACGGGUGGCGAGUGGCGGACGGGUGAGGAAUACAUCGGAAUCUACUUUUUCGUGGGGGAUAACGUAGGGAGACUUACGCUAAUACCGCAUACGACCUACGGGUGAAAGCAGGGGAUCUUCGGACCUUGCGCGAUUGAAUGAGCCGAUGUCGGAUUAGCUAGUUGGCGGGGUAAAGGCCCACCAAGGCGACGAUCCGUAGCUGGUCUGAGAGGAUGAUCAGCCACACUGGAACUGAGACACGGUCCAGACUCCUACGGGAGGCAGCAGUGGGGAAUAUUGGACAAUGGGCGCAAGCCUGAUCCAGCCAUACCGCGUGGGUGAAGAAGGCCUUCGGGUUGUAAAGCCCUUUUGUUGGGAAAGAAAAGCAGCAGGUUAAUACCCCGCCGUUCUGACGGUACCCAAAGAAUAAGCACCGGCUAACUUCGUG